rnacentral:rRNA from 1 species
GCUCCAAUAGCGUAUAUUAAUGUUGUUGCAGUUAAAAAAGCUCGUAGUUGGAUUUCUGGUGGGAGCGGCCGGUCCGCCGCAAGGUGUGUACUUGGUUGUCUCCUGUCAUCCUUGUGGGAACUGCUCUGGCAUUAAGUUGUCGGGGUUAGGGAACACAUCGUUUACUGUGAAAAAAUUAGAGUGUUUAAAGCAGGCUUAUG